rnacentral:rRNA from 1 species
AUGGCUCAGGACGAACGCUGGCGGCGUGCUUAACACAUGCAAGUCGAACGGGAGUAUUGAAGAAGCUUGCUUUAGAGAUACUUUAGUGGCGGACGGGUGAGUAACGCGUGAGGAGCUGUCCUAUGCAGGGGGACAACAGCUGGAAACGGCUGCUAAUACCCCAUAAGCCGAGAGGUAAAAGGAUCAAUCCGGCAGAGGAGGUACUCGCGUCCUAUCAGCUAGUAGGUGAGGUAACGGCUCACCUAGGCGAAGACGGGUAGCCGGCCUGAGAGGGCGAACGGCCACACUGGAACUGAGAUACGGUCCAGACUCCUACGGGAGGCAGCAGUGGGGAAUAUUGGGCAAUGGGGGGAAAAACCCCUGACCCAGCGACGCCGCGUGGGUGAAGAAAUCCUUCGGGAUGUAAAGCCCUGUUGUAUGGGAAGAGCGGAAGACGGUACCAUACGAGGAAGCCCCGGCAAACUACGUGCCAGCCGCGGC